UGGGGAAUAUUGCACAAUGGGCGAAAGCCUGAUGCAGCAACGCCGCGUGAGUGAUGAAGGCCUUCGGGUCGUAAAGCUCUGUCUUCGGGGACGAUAAUGACGGUACCCGAGGAGGAAGCCACGGCUAACUACGUGCCAGCAGCCGCGGUAAUACGUAGGUGGCAAGCGUUGUCCGGAUUUACUGGGCGUAAAGGGAGCGUAGGCGGAUACUUAAGUGGGAUGUGAAAUACCCGGGCUCAACCCGGGUGCUGCAUUCCAAACUGGGUAUCUAGAGUGUGGGAGAGGAAAGUGGAAUUCCUAGUGUAGCGGUGAAAUGCGUAGAGAUUAGGAAGAACACCAGUGGCGAAGGCGACUUUCUGGACCAUAACUGACGCUGAGGCUCGAAAGCGUGGGGAGCAAACA
rnacentral:rRNA from 1 species